CACGGCUCUUAACAUUGCAUUACAGCUGAGCCGGCAGCUCGUAGCUAACGGCAAAGAAGAGGUUGCUGAGAGGUGAAAGUCAAUUAUUUGUUCCAUUGCAUCGUUGGCGCCCAGCAGCAGAGCUACGUUUCUGCCAUUUUGGACUGAAAGUGACUACCGGACACCAGUUAAACGUUCGCCUACAAAGUGCCGUACAAAAGUAAAACUAAAUUAUUUCUAUUCUAUUGUAAUAUAUUUAAUGGUUCUACCGAAAUGGCCUGUGUUGAACAAUGAAAAUAUUAUGCAUACUAUUUUAACUACUCACUCACUUACUUAUUUGUGUAUUAAACUAUUCUGCCCGGCUGCUUCCCAGCAGAGCAUAAAGUGAGCGAUGGACAUAAAUGGAAGUUAGAAAAAUCCAGCACACAGAUUUUGAAAGCAAUCUCAAACUUUUUCAUGUCAAGGAUCCAAAAUAGAUGUACAAUAGACCUCAGACUAUGGAUGUAUAAGAGGGUGUCCCAUGCUUUUGCCUUGCGUUUUAGUAAAUAGCCUACAACUACAUUCAAUUCUGUUUAUGUCAUGCUACCAUCACUACUAGCUACUGGCCGAUAGCCGGUUGUUUGGGAACAGAGAUGUUGAUACAUCUACCACAGUACAGGCUUACAGCAUACAGCCCAUGGGGGUAUUAUAAGAUAAUAAAAGUGAUGCAUUACAGUCAAUAUGUCCAUUAUUAGAGCCACAUACAGCUAGCAGGAAGCUGGCAGAACCAGAUAUGUCAUAUGAGCGUGCAGGGCGGUGCGGUCCCGUGGGUCUGAUGCACGAGGUUGAUUUACCUAAAAAAAAUCUGAUCCUCUGAUUUACAGACGUUUCUUUAUACAUUCAUGGCCACAGACUCAUUGGUGUCCAGAAUGGCAGCAGCGCUGUUGUCAAAAAAGCCCCAGUUGUAUCUCUUUGCUUCUAUACUCUUUGACCUAACUGUCUCUCUCUCCCUUCAUUGUCAUCUUCCAUCCAUCCACCAGGUUCCCUCUGACUUCCCCUCCUUCCCAUCACCCGACUGCUCACCUGUUCCCACUUCCCUCAUCAGCUCACCUGCAUCUCAUUAGCUCAUCAGCCUCUCAGUUCAUAUACAGGUUCAUAUACCCACUUCCAUUCAUUCUCUGCCAGACUGUCAAAGUUGUCGACUGCACCUUUACCUGGACCUGGACCUACCUGUAUCUGAACCCACCUGCCUUUAAAUCUCCCUGGUGAUGUCCAUUCAAACAACGUCAAAGCUCUACUCUACAACUGAAACCAACUCACUGCAGUAAAUCUAACACUGAGCUCAUGAGCAAGUUAAGUCAAUCACAACAAACACCUGAGAGGAGCUGAGCCUCCUCCUCCUCCUCCUCCUCCUCUUCCUCCUCCCACCCCUCUGGUGAACCACCUGGCCCGGCUGCAGCCCGACACUGAGCCCCGACAGAUGGAGGAGUGGUCUGAGCAGAACCAUCUGGAGGCUCAGAACAUCCGUCAGGUGUCUGUCAGCUGUUCAACAGGCCUCAAAUAUAUCACACACCAGCAGCCAGAGGACUUCUAGUGAUGUUUUCAUAUGAACCCCAGUCAGCCAGUGUUGAGAAUAAUAACUGCAGGGCUGCAACUAAUGUUUACUUUCAUUAUUUUAUGGAUAAAUCACUUUGUGUAUAAAAUGCCUGGUGUGAAAACUAGUGAAAUAUGUCACAUCAGUUUCCCCUGUUGUCUGACCAACAGUUCAAAACCCAAAUCUAGUCAGUUUACACUCAGACUCCUCACACUGGAGAAGCUGGAAGCAGAGAAUAGAUUAAAUGAUAAUUAUUCCAGCUUUUAGUAAGUGUUAAUAGCACAGGAAUGCUUGUGUAUAUGAGGAACAGCUGGAAGGAUAAUGCAUUUAAUCAGUCUAUAUACAGUAUAUAACUGAACAAGACUGUCAGAACACUUAGCUCCAAGUACAGUGAGUCUGCUCUUGUGAAGUUACCAAAAAGUAAAAUGGUUUACAAACAUAUUGCUGUUGUUUUUUUCCUCUGACUAGUUAAAUAACAUAAAAUAUUAAUUGUGAAUAAGGGAUUGCUUUUAUAUGUUUAGUAGGGAGGGUUCAGUUUAUCAUCCUGUGAGAUUUGAUCUAAACGAACAAGCCAAACCUGUAGUUUAUAAUCAGUGAUACUGGAUGAGAACAUGUUAUCAGACGGGCCGUACAGUCUGUUGAGAUGAUAUCACUGAUUUGGGCUCUCCAUGUUAACAUGAAGUGGUUUGUUUUCAAUGACAGCCAUUAGACCAUAAAACAGUGGAAUCAUUCCUACAGUAUGUUCCCAGGGUUCUUAUUGUAAGAGCCUGGUGAGGGAUAUCUUCACAGUUCAGAACGAAGAGAGACGGGCGUUUCCAGUGCAGUUUGAUGGUUAA